rnacentral:tRNA from 1 species
GCCAGGAUGGCGAAAUUGGUAGACGCGCCAGACUUAGGAUCUGGUCCCGCAAGGGGUAGGGGUUCGAGUCCCCUUCCUGGUA